GUGAGACUGUGAAUUCUUCAAAAGCAGGUACUGUGUUUAAUGAAGUGUGCCCAGGACUUUGCUCAGUGACUGGAUGACACAGUAGGAGUAACAAGAAAGUUCACAUGGGUGAACCGUGGUAGGUGGACAUCGUCUCUCUCACCUCUUCCCAAAUCAAGGAUGAAGUACAUCUUCAUAAAUCCUCAUGUGAAUUAUUUUGCUACCUCUAGAAGCAUUUUCUAAAACAAGGUGCAGCAAUCAGUUGAGUGAAUUUGUCACCAGAGCUUAUGUUUUCUGAAAGAACCCUAUCCUCAGGCAGUUGUUCCUAAGAGAUUCCACAAAUAUGUCAGCGCUGGAAAUGAUCCUUUGGCUUUGAACUAUGUGAAGACUGCAGAAGGACUGGUUGGUCAGGCUGCAUUUGUAUCCUGGGUCCACAAGACAUCGUUUCCUUAAAACCAAUCCCCCUGAUUUUGCUAAGUGUCUGCAAGCCUAAUAUUUCAUGGAUGUUUGACAAGGACCCCGUCUUUAGCUGAACUAAGGAGAAAGUCCUGCAACACACACAUGGAGCUCAGCAAACGGAGGAUGUAGUAGACGCACAUGAAAUUUGGUGCUGUGACUCGGAUUGGGGGACCUCCCUUGGGAGAUCAAUCCCCUGUCCUCCUGUUCUUUGCUCCAUGGGAAAGAUCCACCUACGACCUCAGGUCCUCAGACCGACCAGCCCAAGGAACAUCUCACCAAUUUUAAAUCGGGACCCCACUGGAAAUCGGACUGUUCAACUCACCUGGCAGCCACUCACAGAGCCCGUGGAACUCUGGCCCAAGGCUCUCUGACUCCUUCUCGGCUUAGCGGCUAAAGACUGACACUGCCCGAUCGCCUCGGAAGCCCCGUAGACCAUCACGGACGCCGAGCUUUAGGUAACUCUCACAGUGGAGGAUGAAGAAACUGAGGUCCAGAGAAGUUAAACGACCUUCCUAAGAUUACACAGCUUAGUAAGUGGCAGAACCACAGCUGGAAGCCAGGUCCUUCCUCACGCAAGUCCUGGCUCAUUCAUUCCUCUUCCAAAGACUUGCUGAGCACCUUCUAGGUGCCAGAUGCGGUGCUGGCUCCUGGGGACAUGGGAGUGAACAGGCCAGGCGUGGCCCUGAACCAUCAAAUAGACAACCACAGAAAUAACAACAACAAAGACAAAACCGGGCCCUUCCACACAGUAGCUGGAACACAAAGGAAGAUCAGCCAAGCCUCAACAUAAUCUCAUAAAAAUUCUUCAAAUAUCCCAUUGUUAUGGAUUCAUACAUCAGGAAAGCAGAUGCCAAGAACCUGAACACCUUCUACUGGUAACAUAUAUUUUGGCGAGCCAGCCUGGAGACAAGACCACUAUGGGCAACUUCCUGUCUAUUCUACCUGGUGUCACUGUGGACAACUUCCUAUCUAUUCCACCCGAUUCACCGCUUGGCUACAUCCUCCACCAUUGGGAUGAAUUUGACCCUAACAAUCUAAAGAAAAGGCAUAUGAUUUUUUACUGCAAUAUUGUUUGACACAAUUAUGAGCUGCCCAAUCCGGAACAAUGGGCAGUCAAUGGUAGCCUUAAUUAUGAUACCAUCCUGUAUCUAGACCUAUUUUACAAGAGGCAGGGCAAAUGGUCAGAAGUCCCACAUAUACAGGCCUACAUGACCCUAUACGAAGACCUAAGAAUCUAGGAAACUCCCAGAACCCAUCCCCCGAAGGAAAGUUCUGGGGCAGAACUAGAUAUUAUAGAUGAACCCCCUUUUACAAGGGAUACCUGUCUCUCAGAGUGAGCAGUGACUGUCCCCAUAUAACCCCUCACCAAGUGCUCCUGAGGCUGAAACCCAGGGGCAAACAUGGGGAACCCUACUAAGUCCCCCUCACACUUGGAGGGGAACACUGUAUUCAACUCUCUAUCCAGCCCUGCUACUCUCAGAGAAAUAGCAGGGGCUGAGGGGCCAAUCCUAGUGUGGGUCCCCUUCUCUAUGAUUGAUAUACAACAAUGUAAGGAAAAGCUAGGAAGCUAUUCUGAGGAUUCCGGGAAGUUUGCAGAUGGGUUCCAAACUUUGACCUUAGCCUUUGAUCUCUCAUGGAGAGACGUUCAAUUCACUCUAGCAACCUGUUGCACCUCCUCGGAAAAGGAACGAAUCUUUGAGGCUGCCCUCCGAGAAGUGGACGAAUUAUUCACCCAAAACCGUAAAGGCAGUCACCCAGGCCCAGCCACAGUUCCCACUACGCAUCCUAAUUGAGACCAAGACACCCCCGCAGGAAGGAACAACUGGGCUAAAUUUCUUGAGGCUCUUGGAGGAAUGAGAAAGGGAAUAACUAAGGCAGUAAAUUAUGAUAAAGUAAGGCAGAUUACACAAGGCAGGGAGGAAAACCCAGCUGUGUUUUACGGCAGGCUGCGGGAAGCCUUUAAAAAAUAUAUACUAAUUUGGUCCCUUCCUCUCCUGAAGGCAAGUUAUUAAUGGCACAACGUUUCAUUAGCCAAUCCACACCAGACAUUAGACGUAAGCUCCAAAAGCUACACAUGGGGCCACAAACUAACCAAAAUCAGCUUCUUGGUACUGCCUUCAUGGUGUAUAACAAUCGUGACCUGGAGGAAGGAGAAGGGAAACAGAGUAAAGAAAAACGGCAAGCCAAAAUUAUGUUAGCCAUCACUGGUGAUGCCCUAAAUGCACAAAGAUUGUCCAAGGGAAACUCAAAGGGCCAUAAGGAUAAUGCCAGCAAAGGCUCUUGCUUCAAAUGCAAUAAAAGUGCGAUUGGGCACAGGAAUCCACUAAGCCCCCGCCAGUCCCCUGCCGUCAAUGUAAAAGCACCAGUUGUGGCUCCUGGCCCUGGAGAAUUGACUGUCCCUGCUCCCACCAAGGGGCUCAGUCAGUCAAAACUCUGGCAGUGCACAAGGAGGAAUCAGAUGAAGACUGAAGGGGCCUGGGGCCUUCCUCACUGCCCCGUCUAGGAACAUUGUAAUUACUACUGAGGAACCCUGGGUAACUCUGGACAUCAUGGCCACCCAAAUUCAGUUUUUAUGUGAUACCAAGGUGAAUUAUUCUGUACAACUGCUUAUGCAGGAAAACUUUCCUCCCGGUCCAUGAGUGAUAUUGGAUGGAAGGGAAGCCACAAACAAGAUUCUUACUCCUCCUUUGGUUUGUCAAUUUGAGAAACAAAUCUUCCAACAGGAAUUUUUAGUAGUACCAAGCUGCCCAAUUCCCCUGUGGGAAAGAGAUAUUAUGGUGAAAAUAGUGACACUACUGCAAUUUAAGCAAUAUUAGCAGGUGAAACUGCUAAUAGUAAGAAAUAAGGCAAUGUCCCAGACCAUGUCAAUAAACAGGUUAACCCACUGGCAUGGUAUACUGGAAACCCAGGGAAGGCUAAAACAGCAGUGCCAGUCAAAAUACAGCUUAAAGACCCCAGCCAUUUUCCCAAUGGAAAACAAUACCCAGUUGAACAGGAAGCAAGCAAAGGUCUAGCUCCCAUAGUUGAGAUAUUACUUACCCAUGGACUCUUAAAACCCUGCAAUUCUCCCUGCAAUACCCCCAUCUUACCUGUUCUCAAGCCUGGGGGGAAUACCAGCUAGUACAGAACCUCAGAAUAAUGAAUGAGGCUGUUAUCCCCGUCCACCCAUUGGUGGCAGAUCCAUAUGCCCUCCUGGCUCAGGUGCCAGGGCAUGCAAAAUGGUUCUCAGUCCUAGACCUUUCUUCUCCAUUCCUCUGGCCCCGAGCCCCCCAGUACCUUUUUGCUUUCGAAUGGGAAAAUCCUAAUACCAGAUAAAAACAAUACACUUGGACAGUGCUUCCUCAGGGCUUUCGGGAUAGCCCCCACUUCUUUGCCUGAGCAUUAGAGCGGGAUCUGAGGGAUUUCAAGUUAGAAAAUGGAGGUAUUCUUCAGUAUGGGGAUGACCUUGUGUGUAGCCCAACCUAGGAGGUUUCUGACCAAAAUACUAUAAAAACUUUGAAUUUCCUGGCAGACAGAGGAUACAAAGUGUCCAAAAAGAAGGCUCAGAUUACCCUCCAAUGGGUCCACUAUUUAGGAUAUGUCUUAACACCCGGAACCCGGCAAAUAUCCCCAGAAGGAGUGCAAGCUAUAUGUGGUUUGGCCGCGUGCACCACCCCCAGCCCCCACCCUGACCCACCUCCAAGCAGCAGCUUUGUUCCUUUUUGGGGAUGGCCGGGCUUUGGAGAAUAUGAGUACCAAAUUUUGGGCUCAUAGCAAAGCCCCUAUAUGAAGCAACAAGGGGGCCUGAAAAUGAGCUAAUGGAAUGGACCCCGGAAAUGAGGAAAGCCUUUGCCAAGUUAAAACAGGUUCUCACCCAGGCUCCUGCUCUUGGUAUCCCAGACCUAAUUAAGGCCUUCUCCUUGUAUGUAGCAGAGAAGAGGGGCAUAGCUGUGGGAGUGCUAGCCCAGAAAUUAGGAUCAGAACCCAGACCAACCGCCUACUUCUCAAAAAAGUUGGACGGAGUGGCCUCAGGAUGGCCAAGUUGCCUGCGGGCAAUAGCAGCCACUGCUGUUAGUGGAGGAAGCCACUAAAAUCACCCUAGGGCAACCACUGGAAGUUCUAACGCUCCAUCAGGUAAAGUUAGUCUUAGAAAUAAAGGGACACAUCUGGAUGACAGGGGAAAUGUUAACUAAAUACCAGCCCAUGCUCCUAGACAAUCCAGAUAUAACUCUUAAAACCUGCAACACUUUAAAUCCAGCUUCAUUGCUGCCCACAGGCCCAAUAAUUGAUCAUUCCUGUGAGCAGGUCAUUGCACAUACAUAUGUUAGCCAGCCUGAUUUAAAAGAUGAGGCUCUCCCAGAUUCUGAAGCUGACCGGCUCACAGACGGCAGUAGUUCUUUGUCGAAUGGGGAGCACAGAGCUGGAUAUGCAGCAGUAAAUCAUGACACAAUUAUUGAAGCCCAGCCAGUGCCCCCUGGCACAUCAGCACAAAAGGCUAAAAUCAUUGAUCUUACUCAAGCAUUAAUGUUGGGACAAGGGAAAAAACUUAACAUCUAUACAGAUUCUAAAUAUGCAUUCCUUGUGGUUCAUGCUCAUACCGCCAUCAGGAAAGAAAGGGGAUUACUUACUAGCAAGCACUCCCCUAUAGAGCAUGGACCUGAAAUUCUGCAGCUAUUGAAGGCAAUACACCUGCCAAAGGCCAUAGCUAUCAUUCAUUGUAGGGGGCAUCAAAGGGACUUAACCCCUAUAGCACAAGGGAAUGGAAAGGCUGACGGAAGCCAAAGCAAAAGCCCUCAGCGUGCAAUCCCAACAGAUCCUAGCACUGCUUCCUUUCUACAAUUCCCCAGUAGAACCCAAAUACACACCACAGGAAGAACAGCUAAUAAAAAAAGCAAGGGAGACAAAAACAAGGAUCCUGGUGGCAUAUGGAGCCAAAAAUAUAUCUCCCUCAGGCAGCCCAGUGGAGAGUUAUAAAAGCCCUGCAUGACUCUUUCCAUGUGGGGAGGGAUGCGGCUCUGGCCAUGGUAAACAAGUUCUUUACUGGGUUUAACUCAGCUUCAAUGGCUAAGCAGGUCUGUCAAGCCUGCUCACUGUGUGCAUUUAACAAUCCAGGCAUCAAAAUGCCCCCUCUAAUAAAACCAGUCCAAAGGAGGGGAACUUAUCCAGGGGAAGACUGGCAGUUAGACGUCAUCCAUAUGCCAGCUUGCAGAGGAUACAAGCUUUUGUUAAUACUAAUAGAUACUUUUAGGUUGGGUCAAAGGUUACCCCAGAAAAGGCUAAUGAGGUUCUAAGGUCCUCUUAAAAGAAAUAAUUCCCCAGUUUGGGUUACCUCAGGGUCUCCAAAGUGAUAAUGGCUAAUCCUUUAUCUCCCAAAUAACUCAAGGGGUUGCUAAGGCUCUUGGAAUAAAAUACUAUUUACAUUCAGCCUGGAGGCCCCAAUCCUCUGGAAAAGUGGAAAGGGUUAACCAAACUCUAAAAUAAGCACUAGCUAAACUAUGUCAGGAAACAUCAGAAACUUGGGUUAGCUUAUUGCUCACAGCCCUUUUAAGAAUUUGUAAUACCCCUAGCUCAAAAAUUAACAGAAGCCCAUAUAAAAUGUUAUACAGAAGGCCAUUCUUAACUAAUGAUUUAAUUAUUGACCCAGAAAGAGUUGGUGUAAUUAAAUACCUAGUCAACCCAGAACAAUUCCAGCGGGUUUACAAGAGUUUGGAAUUCAAAGGCUCCUCACACUUGGAACUAACCAGCAACCCAAAAUCAGGCCAGGAGAUAGGGUACUUGUUAAAACAUGGAAUGAGGGAUCACCUGCCCAACAAUUACAACCCCAAUAGAAGGGACUUUUUUCAGUAAUACUGGCCACGUCUUCUGUGGUCAAAGUACUAGUAUUAGAUAGCUGGAUACAUCUUUCAAGGAUCAAACCAUCAAUACCAGAAGCUCCAGACCAGGAACCUGAAGUUCCCAUCAGCCAGUACACCUGUGAACCAGUGGAGGACCUGAAGUACCUGUUUAAAAGAUAGCCAAAAGAUAAGUAAAUGCCUACCAACUUUCUUUGGUGUCUUUGUUGCAUAGUUACUGUGGGCUGGAAAAUAGUAGCCAUUUUUAUCUUUGCAGUUUAAUUGCCUUCUUCCAAAUAGAUAAAAAUCACUUCCUUUGUAAUAAUUAAACAGAAUUUAAAAAAUACAUUUCUAUGACAAAUAUUCCUGAUGGCAUAAGUAUCCACCCCAAGGUUCCCAUUAAAUCUUUUAACCUAAAGUAUUUCCUCUCACCUAGAGAUCAUCGAGCUGUGUGACAAGGGUGCCAGCCACUCCAGGUGAAGACACCACCCCAGGCCAUCAAGGAUCUUCCCUACCUUCACUAAACAGAGCAGGGUGAAAGUUGUGUGAUCCCCAAUAGGUAGGGACUACACCCCAAGUCAGCAGGAAGCAGUUACAGAAGAAAGACCAUUGGUCCCUCUGCUUCCCAUAAAGAUUUAUGGGGAUCACAGCUUUCACGGGGGAGAUGAGGCAAGAGAAUAGGGCAUGCAGGCAGGGUACUUGAGGCCAAUCCACGCUGACUUCCUAGAACUGAAUUAAAUGAAAGCUCCUCAGCAAUGACAGGAAUGUGAAUGGCUUUGUAACUUCUUCCUCUCCAUUAAUGCUAUUUCCACUUUGUAACUUCACUUUCAUCCUCUCCAUUUACAUAGAUCACACACCAAGUAACAUCCUCUCCAUUUACAGUAGGGCGCAUUCCGAGUCAAUGACUCUGACUGCACUUCGUUCUCCUCAUUUACAUAGAACAUUCGCCAAGUAACCAAUGGGAAACCUCUAGAGUAUUGAAACUCCAGAAAAUUCCGUAAGUGGGGCUCUUGAGCGUCUACACUCGGGUCGCUCCCACACUGUGGCGUGUACUUUUAUUCUCAAUAAAUUCCCGCUUUUGCUUUCCUCGUUC
rnacentral:lncRNA from 1 species